UUUUAUUUUUUGGUUCACAGAUAUAAAGGUUUUGAAUUUUCCCAUUAUGACAUUUAAUCAUAAUUAUCAAAGAAGAAUUAUCAAGGUGAAGAUACUAUAGAUAUAACAUACACGUAUUUUUAAGGUAAUGUUUACUUUUUAGUUUAACAGCCUAAAACUUCAGCACACUCAACCCUCUCACGUAAGUCCCCAUAAAUGAGACACGAGUUUCACACAAUCCCAAAGUAAGUGGAAAACAAUUUUUUUUUUUUGCUAGAAAGGACAUUAGUAGGACAUUUACUGAAGUUCAAACAAGGUCUAUAAAUUAGAGAAUAAUACUAUAGCAAUGUUAAUUUCUUGGAUUUCAUAACUGUACUGUGGUUGUGUAAAUGAAUUUAGGAAAUGUGUACUGAUGUAUUUAGGGAUAAAGUGGUAGAAUGUGUACAGUGUACUCCCAAGCCAUUCAGAAAAGAAAUAAAACACACACACACACACACACACACACACACACACACACAGAGAGAGAGAGAGAGAGAAGGAUAAAGCAAACACGGUAAAGUGAGGGAAGCUGAAGAAAAAUUUACAGGAACUCUUGGCACUAUUUUUGAAAUUUCUAUGUGGAUUUGAAUUUAUUUCAAAAUAAAAAGGUUUUUUUACGGUUUCCCAUUAGUGCUCCUGAGCAACCGUUGCUUAUUUAAAAUAAUAGCCUAAGAGAGUAUAUUUGUAAGUUCCUUUGUUUGCUUCCCCAUAUCAAUCUAAAAGGAAUUUUAUGUAGGUCUUUUUUCUAGGUAGGUCCUACUUUAGAUAUCAUUUAAACCCUUAAUCUUGAAGAAAAACAGAGUAGGGGAGCCAGAGACAAGACUGGCAAGACAUGAGUUGCUACCAGUUAAAAGAAUGCCCAAAGAAGAAGGAUUCCAGAAGCAGAAGACCUGGAUUCUCCAAGGAUGAAGAGUUCCAGACUCUGGGAUAUUGACCUCUGUGGUCCUCAGUUUUGUCAUCUUUAAAAUGAGGGGCAUAGAGGCAAGGCAAUGUUGAGGACUGAUGUGGCAUGUUUUGUAUUGUAGAAUAUUUCAUUCGUGGUGUCCAGUCGCAGCUCUGCCACCUCCCCCCACCUCAGGUUUACUUGUCUGGAACAAUGGUCUCGUGCCCCAUGGCAUGUGGUAGAAGCCAAGGUCAGCCCCAUGUUUUCUGAGCGUCUGAAAGCCUACUGGAAAAGGAUCUACUUGGGCAGUUGGAGGGACCUUCUUCAUCCCCUUAAGACAAGCCUUGCCCCUCUAUAUCAUUCUUUGGUAAUGGAAACAUCCCAACCACACUCCUUCCUGCUAAUCAAAUCCCAUUUACAUUGAAGGCCUGCUGACAUUCAUUAGCCCAAACCUGCUUUUCAGAGAUUUCCACUCACUUUGAGCUAAACAUGUGGACCCCAUUCCUAAGCUGAAAUGAAGAUUUCGCUUUCUUCUUUCUCUUUCAACCAGAAACAGCAUUCUGCUGCCGUUGGAAAUUGAUGCAUCUGAGUACAAAGUGUCUGUUCCCUGCGCCUUUCAAACAACACAGUGCCCCAGGCCCAACACCAGCAUGCACGAGCACGCAUGCGCUCACACUCACACACAUUCUCAGCCCAUAAAAGCCAACCACACUGCUGAAUAUCUAAAGCCCACCACUCAGCAAACACUGUCUCCUUCCUGGAACUUUCGGGGAUGCGGACAACACCCUGUCAUGGAGCAUGUGUGGAGCUUGAGCCGGCGAUAAAUUGAGGCGCUAAUCCUGAUGCACGACAUCACCAUUUUUUAGUUCUGUCAUCACCAAAGCAAGAAGAUGUUGGCAGAGCUGUCCCCAGCCAUUCUCCUUGUCCUUCAUUUGAUGGCUAUUUUCUAGCACCUUCCAUGCACAUGAACCAUGGUGACAAGGUUCACAUGGGCUGUCAGCAGGACACAGU
rnacentral:lncRNA from 10 species